rnacentral:lncRNA from 1 species
GGUCCCAGCUACUCAGGAGGUUGAGGUAGGAAAAUCAUAUAAGCCCAGGAGUUGGAAGCUGCAGUGAGCCAUGAUUGCACCACUGCAUUCCAGCAUGGGCAAAAGAGCAAGACCCUAUCUAGUGGAAUAAGAGAAAGACAUAAUUUGUGAAAUAAUGGGACAUGUUGAUUUUAGAUGUUUAAAGAAUGCAUUUUAUAAUUACAUUAAAAGUUAUCCAUAAAAGAUUAUUAUUAUUACUAUUGAGAUAGACAGUAGCUUCUUCAGCCAUAAUUCUUUUUAUAUGUAUUUUUUGGAGCGAUUAUAGCAUGUUACAUGUGGGUUUUGUAAGUUAAGAAUAGGGUUUUUAAAUACAUAUUUAGCAUAAAAUGACUAAUAAUCUUCACAAGUUACCUAAAUUGUUAAGGGAAAGUUGAAAGUUUUUAGAUAAAUAGCAGUGCAUUCUUAUUUGAAGAAGUGUCUCCAUUUUCGUUUUUGAUUUCUGUAUUUAUGAAGUCACUUUCUUCUCAUUUUCACUAUGUCUUGCUGCAAAUCAUGGGCACAGACCUUUUAAAAUAGAUAUAACUCUUAUUUGUUUUUGGGGGUGCACAUGUGAUAAUUUAAUAUAUUCAUAUAAUUUGUAAAAGUAAAAUCAGUGGAAUUGGGACCUUCAUCACCUAAAAUAUUUGUGUUUUAUUUAUACAAGAAACAUUCAAACUAUUUUCUAGCUAUUUUGAAAUAUAGGAUAGAUUAUUGUAAACUAUAGUCCCCCUACUAAUCUGUUGAACACUAAGUCUCAUUUCUUCUAUCAAACUAUAUUUGUACCCAUUCUUAGUACUAUUCCUGUUUAUUAUGACUGAGGGAAAAUAUUUUGUGAUGAUCGGUGUCAAAGAAAAACGCAGGCCUCAUUGGCUCCUGUGCUUUCAUUGCAUUCUUCUCGCACUCUUCUUAGGAUCUCUGCC